GCGUCCGUAGCUCAGCGGCAGAGCAACCGUCUCCAAAGCGGUUACGCGCAGGUUCGAGUCCUGCCGGGCGCGCAA
rnacentral:tRNA from 1 species